GGUCAAACGACACCAAUGCCCUCACCCAAGGGGAAGAGGAUGAACCACCACACACUUCACCAUUCAGCGGGAGGAGACUCGGAGAAGUUUUGGCCAUCCCUAACCUGCUGCAGGCAAUGGGAAUACUGUGAAAAUGCUGAGUCUGAUGCGAAAGCUCUGCGUGGGGGCCGAGACUCUACAUUUCCCACUAGUUCCCAGCUGCCAUCAUUGCUGCUCAUCCUCAGAGUGAGGUUCUGGUCUAGACCCUGUGGCUUCCCAGGUGGACACUGCCACACAGACCGCCGGGCUGGAGGGACGGUCAGACGGCCCCUGUGCCACAGAGGUUGAUGCUGCCGGGAGGGGCGCCAGCUCUGAGGACCACUGGCCUGGAGAAAGCACUCCCUGUGGUUGACAGGCUCACGCUGGGGAAUUAAACUAGGAGAGAGAAAAGUA